GGGGAUUUAGCUCAGCGGCACAGCACCUGCCUGGCAAGCAUGAGGUCCUGAGUUCAAUCCUCAGUACCA
rnacentral:tRNA from 1 species